AGUGAACGCUGGCGGUAGGCCUAACACAUGCAAGUCGAACGGCAGCACAGUAAGAGCUUGCUCUUACGGGUGGCGAGUGGCGGACGGGUGAGGAAUACAUCGGAAUCUACUUUUUCGUGGGGGAUAACGUAGGGAAACUUACGCUAAUACCGCAUACGACCUACGGGUGAAAGCAGGGGAUCUUCGGACCUUGCGCGAUUGAAUGAGCCGAUGUCGGAUUAGCUAGUUGGCGGGGUAAAGGCCCACCAAGGCGACGAUCCGUAGCUGGUCUGAGAGGAUGAUCAGCCACACUAGAACUGAGACACGGUCCAGACUCCUACGGGAGGCAGCAGUGGGGAAUAUGGGACAAUGGGCGCAAGCCUGAUCCAGCCAUACCGCGUGGGUGAAGAAGGCCUUCGGGUUGUAAAGCCCUUUUGUUGGGAAAGAAAAGCAGCAGGUUAAUACCCCGCUGUUCUGACGGUACCCAAAGAAUAAGCACCGGCUAACUUCGUG
rnacentral:rRNA from 1 species